rnacentral:misc_RNA from 1 species
UCCGGCUUUCACCGGCUGUCUCGCUAGAGUGCCCAACUGAAUGCUGGCAACUAGCAAUAAGGGUUGCGCUCGUUGCGGGACUGAACCCAACAUCUCACGACACGAGCUGACGACAACCAUGCACCACCUGUCUCCUCUGUCCGAAGAAGGGUAUAUCUCUAUACCUGUCAGAGGGAUGUCAAGCCUUGGUAAGGUUUUUCGCGUAUCUUCGAAUUAAACCACAUGCUCCACCGCUUGUGCGGGUCCCCGUCAAUUCCUUUGAGUUUUAGCCUUGCGGCCGUACUCCCCAGGCGGGGCACUUAAUGCGUUAGCUCCGGCACGGGAGGAGUCGACACCUCCCACACCUAGUGCCCAUCGUUUACGGCGUGGACUAC